rnacentral:rRNA from 1 species
AUUGAACGCUGGCGGCAGGCCUAACCCAUGCAAGUCGAGCGGAGCGGCGGACGGGUGAGUUAUGCCUAGGAAUCUGUCUGGCAGUGGGGGAUGAAGUCCGGAAAUGGGCGCUAAUAUCGCAUACUAUCAGAUGAGCCGUGGUCGGAUUAGCGAGUUGGUGGGGUAAAGGCCUACCAAGGCGACGAUCCGUAACUGGUCUGAGAGGAUGAUCAGUCACACUGCACCUGAGCCGCGGCCUAGGAUCCUAAGAGAGGAAGCAGUGGGGAAUAUUGGCCAAUGGCAGAAAGACUGCCCCAGCCAUGCCGCGUGUCUGACGACGGUCUUCGGAUUGUAAAGCGCUUUACGUUGGGAGGCGUUACCAACAGAAUCAGCACCGGCUAACUUCGUGCCAGCAGCCGCGGUAAUAC